CCCUUGGCCAAUCCAGACGGAUCAUCAUAAAGGUCGAUAGUAGCCUAACGCCACAUCACAAUGCCUGUGUCAGUUCACCUCACUUUAUCUCAUCACGUAGGAAUUUCAUCAUCAUUACACAUCAUCCAAAGAAAAAGAUUUUGUCACCAUUCUUGUUUCUAGCACUCCCAGGACUACUUAAGCAGGCAGUUGUUCUUCAGGGUGACAGAGGGACCUGCAGCAGCAACAGUAAUCCCAGCACUGGUCAGACAUGAAGCUUCUCCAGCCUCACCCUAAACCAACUGAAUCGGAGACUCUGGGGGAUGGGGCCACAGUCUGUGUUUUCGGAGCCUUCCCCGUGAUGGUGCUGAAGCUAAGAACUAGAGCACUGGGGUAAUCACCAGGCUUGGGCAGGAGUUAAUGCAAGCUCAGUUCACAUCAACGUCCCUGUUAGCGAAAGCACACUGUUGACUAAUUGAGCUUAAUAUCAACUAAAACCCCUAAGUCUUUUUCACACAUGUUGCUACUAAUCCCCAUAUUCCCUAUCUAGUACUUGUACAGGAUUCUUUUUGGACUGAAGUAUAAAUCUUUACAUUUAUCCCUAUUAAACUUAAUCUUGUUA